rnacentral:rRNA from 1 species
UCCAUCCGGAGGGGGGUCGGGAAUGAGAAGAAAAAAAAGAACGGCCCUGGGAGGAACACAGGUACAAGGGCAUACAGAGGGCGCCAACUGGAGAGGAGCGAAUCCCAAAAAGUGGUGUAGUCCGGAUUGGAGUUGCAACUGACUCCAGAAGUCGGAAUCGUAGUAAUCGUAGAUCAGAAUGUACGGUGAAUACGUUCCCGGGCCUUGUACACACCGCCCGUCACACCAUGGGAGUGGGCUGCAAAAGAAGUGGGUAGUUUAACCUUCGGGAGAGACGCUCACCACUUUGUGGUUCAUGACUGAGGAAGUCGUAACAAGGUAGCCCUAGGAAC